GAUGGGGAAACGAAGCAACUGCUGCUAACAAAGUUAGAAGAGAAGAAAAAAAAAGAACAAAAGAUUUGGAGGAGGAAAGCAACGAUAGCUUCUGGUUCUAAAAUAAGAGGAAAAAAUCAAGAAGAGUUCCAUAGCUGCUAGCAACUUGGUGCUUCAAUAUAAUUAUUCCCAACCAUUGUUAUUUCUCAAUUCAAGAGGCAGCAAUAAACGCAUGCGAGAAUUCCGUUAAUUAGAGUACACGAGUUGACAGUUUCUGGUGAGCCCUGCAGUUGUUCGCGUGGGCAAGGAUUGUUAUUUAUUUGUUAUAGCAUUUUUCUUGAAACUCUUAGAGUCGCUCCGUAGUCAUUUUUAUGAGUAUCAUGAGUAUUCUUUUAUUGAUAUAGAUUCGUGACU